ensembl:lncRNA
GAACGCUUGGACACUGCAAGCAUAAUGGACAGGUUUUUGACGGGGCGCCCACACAAACGCAAAGCAGGAGAUGAAGCAUCGCUGAAUAUGUUUCCAAACCAGCUUCCUUCCAGGCCAAAGACUAGAAAAUAUGGUGAAGCAAAUCUUCCCUUUGGCUUCAUCUGCACAAGUGCCGAGAUGCUUUGAGAUGGAAUCUGCGAGAAUCCUCCCUCCCCUGUGCAUCACUGUCAGUCUUCCUGCUCCAUCCCAUCGACCUCAUGCCUUAAGUUAAUAUUACUGAGUCCAAAAGAAGGUCUUCUGUGCAGACCUCCUCCAGCCUAGGCUUAAUGCCAGGUCUGUGCAGCUAGGCUGGAGCUGCAGAGUGAACACCCAUCAAACCAUCACCCUACCAAAAGCAG